rnacentral:rRNA from 1 species
UCCUACGGGAGGCAGCAGUAGGGAAUCUUCCGCAAUGGACGAAAGUCUGACGGAGCAACGCCGCGUGAGUGAUGAAGGCUUUCGGGUCGUAAAACUCUGUUGUUAGGGAAGAACAAGUGCUAGUUGAAUAAGCUGGCACCUUGACGGUACCUAACCAGAAAGCCACGGCUAACUACGUGCCAGCAGCCGCGGUAAUACGUAGGUGGCAAGCGUUAUCCGGAAUUAUUGGGCGUAAAGCGCGCGCAGGUGGUUUCUUAAGUCUGAUGUGAAAGCCCACGGCUCAACCGUGGAGGGUCAUUGGAAACUGGGAGACUUGAGUGCAGAAGAGGAAAGUGGAAUUCCAUGUGUAGCGGUGAAAUGCGUAGAGAUAUGGAGGAACACCAGUGGCGAAGGCGACUUUCCGGUCUGUAACUGACACUGAGGCGCGAAAGCGUGGGGAGCAAACAGGAUUAGAUACCUUGGUAGUCCACGCCGUAAACGAUGAGUGCUAAGUGUUAGAGGGUUUCCGCCCUUUAGUGCUGAAGUUAACGCAUUAAGCACUCCGCCUGGGGAGUACGGUCGCAAGAUUAAAACUCAAAGGAAUUGACGGA